GUAGGUCUGUAAUCAGUCUUCUUCCAUUUCUCUUCCCCUUGUUUCCUAGGCUCAUCUACCCUGUCAUCUGCCUGCAUUCUCAUACGGCAGACUCGCCUGUCAUGCCAUCUCUAGCCACUUGACUUUGAAACAUUACCUCCACCAUUUAUGGCCCGACUUAGAUCAUGGUCAUUAUUGCAUUGAUAUAGUCUCCAGGAGACUGUUUCUAGUCCCAAGCCUGCGAAGUAUUGUGCAUGCCCCCAACAGGGUCUUCCUUAGCCCUUAGCUCUAUGAUGUACUCUAUAAUCUUGAUCCCUGUUGUUCCAGGGAAGGGAAGGCAUUCUUAGUCAGAGAAUGCUCAGUAGUGAAGGUCCAGGGACAAAUUUGAGAAGAGAGGGGAAUAAAGGAGGAUUAUUAAUCAUACAUAGAGUAUCUGAGCAAUGAAAUGUUAGUUAAGGCUAGAACUUUCUUCUUUGGGAGCCUGACAGAGUUGUAAAGACUUAAGUUGUGGCUCUACUUAAUAAUAUCCCCAAACCCUGGCUGUACCUUAAAAAACACUUAAUGGAUGGUUUAGGGGCAGUAGUUCCUAAAUGGGUUGGAUGACCCUCUCACAGGAGUCACAUAUCAGAUAUGCUGCUUAUCAGGUAUCUAUAUCAUGACUCAUAACAGCAGCAAAAUUAUGAUUAUGAAGUAGAAACAAAAAUAAUUUUAUGGUUGGGGAUCUGAAGAACUGUGUUAAAGGGUUGCAGCUCCAAGAAGGCUGAGAAUCAGUGGCUUAGGGUAAAGCUUCUACUACUAUGAGUUCCCCAAACUCAGAGUAAGUUACAGGUUGUAAAGAAGCAAAAGUUAGCAACUUACUCUAAAAAAGUGGCAAGUAAUGUCAAUUGUGAAAGUACUUUGAAGUCGGAACAAAAACUGGAUUGAUGGCUUCCUGCUUUGUUGUGUAUGAUCUGGUUUUCAAAAGACUUGUUUAGUUUUUUUAUGUGUAUGUUUAUGUGGCUGUAAGUGGAUGUGCUCUCACAUGUGUGUAACUUGCAGAGCCAGAGGGUGUCACAUCUAUUGGAGUUGGAGUUAGAGGUUGUUGUAAGCUCCUGAUUGUGUGUGCAUGCUGAGAACCAAAAUUAGGUCGUCCUCUCUGAGAGCUGUACUAACCCCAACAUGUCUCUCCAGUUCUGCCGCUGUCAUGUUAAAGAGGUUAAUGGCUUAUUUGACUUCUUAGUUUAUAAUAUGGUGGAUCUCAGAAAUUUUUUAUUUUGUUCUAAAUUCUUUUGGAUUUUGUGAUGGAAAUACCAGAAUGAAAUAGUUUUACCGGGAACCUUACUUCAUGCAGGGAAGGUUGUAGGUAAAGUGAUGGAGCUCAAGCCCUGCCUCAGCCUGUGUCUUUGCUUAGUUCGGGCAUGCCAGGGAGUUUCUACAGAAGUCUACCUCCUUGGUAUAAUGGAAAGGAAGGCCUCACACAGGUGCCAGGUUUCAGGACUUGGUGCUGUAACUGAACUUUCUCAUUAGGUUAUUAAUACUGUUUGGCUGUAGAAAGGACGUCUUCAGAUGGUACAACUUGCUAUAAGUAUUAAGACCCUGGGGUGAAGCUGAUCUCUUAACAAAAAGUCAUGGUGUGUUUAUAGUUUUCAUCAGUUACGAAAACAGUGUAUGUGCAUUCUUGUAUUAGGGCACAUUGGAAGACAGUUUGCAAACGGCAGUUUUCUUUGUACCACUUAGAUUCUAAGGAUAGAAUUUGGGUCAGGGGGUCAGGCCUGGGGACACCUUUACCUACUGGGCCUGUCACCAACCCUGUGGAAUGCUUAAAUCAAUUUUUUUUUUUUAGGAUUUCUGAAAAGAGGAUCCAUGAAGAAUUUAAUUCAUUACUCAGCAUCAUG
rnacentral:lncRNA from 1 species